CCUACGGGGGGCAGCAGUGGGGAAUAUUGCACAAUGGGGGAAACCCUGAUGCAGCAACGCCGCGUGAGUGAAGAAGGGUUUCGGAUUGUAAAGCUCUGUUAGCAGGGAAGAGGAAGGACGGUACCUACAGAGGAAGCCACGGCUAACUACGUGCCAGCAGCCGCGGUAAUACGUAGGUGGCAAGCGUUGUUCGGAAUAACUGGGCGUAAAGAAUGCGUAGGCGGUUAAAUAAGUUAUAUGUUAAAUAGAUAGGCUUAACCUGUAGAAAGCAUAUAAAACUGUUUAACUAGAGUGCAGGAGAGGUGAGUGGAAUUCCAAGUGUAGCGGUGGAAUGCGUAGAGAUUAGGAAGAACACCAGUGGCGAAGGCGACUUACUGGACUGUAACUGACGCUGAGGCAUGAGAGCAUGGGGAGCAAACAGGAUUAGAUACCCCGGUAGUC
rnacentral:rRNA from 1 species